GGGUGCUGUUCAUCCUAACAGGUUAGACAUGUCUCCUCUCCUCUUUACAGUCAUCUACAGGGUGCUGCUCAUCCUAACAGGUUAGACAUGUCUCCUCUCCUCUUUACAGUCAUCCACAGGGUGCUGCUCAUCCUAACAGGUUAGACAUGUC